GACGUAGGGCGCAAGCGUUGUCCGGAUUUAUUGGGCGUAAAGAGCGUGUAGGCGGCCUGGAAGGUCAGCUGUGAAAACUCCAGGCUCAACCUGGAGAUGCCACCCAAGACUGCUAUGACUUGAGUCUGGUAGGGGAGCACGGAAUUCCUGGUGUAGCGGUGAAAUGCGCAGAUAUCAGGAGGAACACCGGUGGCGAAGGCGGUGCUCUGGGCCAUUACUGACACUGAGAAGCGAAAGCAUGGGGAGCGAACAGG
rnacentral:rRNA from 1 species